AAGGCGUAGUCGAUGGGAAAAUGGUUAAUAUUCCAUUACUUCUGUGUAAUGCGAUGAGAGGACGGAGAAGGCUAAAUCAGCCUGGCGUUGGUUGUCCAGGUGAAAGGAUGUAGGCAUGUAUCUUAGGCAAAUCCGGGGUACUCUAUGCUGAGAUCUGAUAGCAAGCUGUACUUGUACAGCGAAGUGGUUGAUGCCAUGCUUCCAGGAAAAGUCUCUAAGCUUCAGUUACACAGGAAUCGUACCCGAAAC
rnacentral:rRNA from 1 species